UGCUGCAAAGUGAAGAAGGUGGCAGAGGGGACUUCUGAGACCGGGCCCGGACAAGCUCAUUGGAACGCUCGCUGGGGCCUGGGGCCUGGAGCUGCCCCCUGGUGGAGGUGCUGCAGUCAGCUGUGCCAUCUCAGCCUUCCAACCAGAGGCCACAAGUCAAGCAGAAGCCAGUGUUCGCAGUCCUAGAAACCUGAGGCAAAGGUAACAUCGGGCUGGAACAAAGCCGUCAUUCCACAGAUCAUCGUCACUUCAGCCUCAAAUGAGGCUCUCAUCGG